rnacentral:rRNA from 1 species
AUUGAACGCUGGCGGCAGGCCUAACACAUGCAAGUCGAGCGGCAGCGGGAAAGUAGCUUGCUACUUUUGCCGGCGAGCGGCGGACGGGUGAGUAAUGCCUGGGAAAUUGCCCAGUCGAGGGGGAUAACAGUUGGAAACGACUGCUAAUACCGCAUACGCCCUACGGGGGAAAGCAGGGGACCUUCGGGCCUUGCGCGAUUGGAUAUGCCCAGGUGGGAUUAGCUAGUUGGUGAGGUAAUGGCUCACCAAGGCGACGAUCCCUAACUGGUCUGAGAGGAUGAUCAGCCACACUGGAACUGAGACACGGUCCAGACUCCUACGGGAGGCAGCAGUGGGGAAUAUUGCACAAUGGGGGAAACCCUGAUGCAGCCAUGCCGCGUGUGUGAAGAAGGCCUUCGGGUUGUAAAGCACUUUCAGCGAGGAGGAAAGGUUGGUAGCUAAUAACUGCCAGCUGUGACGUUACUCGCAGAAGAAGCACCGGCUAACUCCGUGCCAGCAGCCGCCGCUGUAA